rnacentral:rRNA from 1 species
UACGUAGGGUCCGAGCGUUGUCCGGAAUUAUUGGGCGUAAAGGGCUCGUAGGCGGUUUGUCACGUCGGGAGUGAAAACUCGGGGCUUAACCCCGAGCCUGCUUCCGAUACGGGCAGACUAGAGGUAUGCAGGGGAGAACGGAAUUCCUGGUGUAGCGGUGAAAUGCGCAGAUAUCAGGAGGAACACCGGUGGCGAAGGCGGGUCUCUGGGCCGUAACUGACGCUGAGGAGCGAAAGCGUGGGGAGCGAACAGG